rnacentral:sRNA from 1 species
AACUUACCAUAGGAACGGCAUCCUUUUUUUCGUUGGCGGGAGCGAAGCUCCCGCCAACGAAAAAAAGAUAGAGUGGAUAGCCGGAUUAAGC